GACCAGCGUGGCUUUACUCGGGAGGGAGGAGGACAGCAACAGCAAACAAACCCAAAGCAGAAGACGGCGUGACUGCAGCUGUGCAGACACAUCGAGUCCUGACAUGACAAUAAGCACAAAGUCACGUCUUCAUAGACGCAGUUUUCCUGCGUUCAGCUCUCCACUGAAGCAGAGUUAAAACCUCAUAAUGCGAUGAUCCGAAUCCCCGUCAGUAUCAAACCGUGUGUGUGCUGGUAGGAGUGUACGGUAAGGUAAAGGAGGUUAAUUACAGAGUAGAGGAUGCGUAAUGUCUUGUUGUUUGAAGUCAUUUAAAUUGCUUUGAAUCUUCGGAGAGUUUAAAAUGAGCAUGUUUUUACUUUUCACUGUACUCUGAUUAAGUUGUCUCUUGUAAGAAUCUGUCAGGGCUGCAGAGGUAAUUGGAUCCAUUUAAAUUAAGCUCACAUUCACAGCCGCUGCUGCAGCAGGAUAAAGGACAAUAUCCACGAAUGCAAGCUAAAGUAACGCACUAACACUGACUGUAGAUGGAGGUUCAUGCAGAUAUGAAUAACUCUUUAUUAUGUUUGUGUAAUGAAACCGUAUUUAUUCUCAAGAUCCGACCGUUCAUGUGGGCAAAGAUGGGACUGCAGCGCCUCCGCUCUUCCAAAACAUUCCUCCUUUCCUCUCUUAGUAAUGGCUGCACAUUACAGCGCUCCAAUCAGCACUCUGGAACGCUUUAUUCCUCCAGAUAAACAAAAACACUCGUUUAGAGGCCGGCCGAUGUCUGAAGUGACCAAUCAGGGAUCAUGCCACUAAUACCAGCAGAUUUCACCCAGAUGAGUAAUCUGAUCAUAUCCUGUGUUAUCAAAAAGAGUUAUUGAUACGUGUGAAUCACACUGAGCAGCACUAUACGAAUGAUCUGUCCUCGCUGUUCGGUGCAGGACGAGGCGGAGCCCACGUCUGCUCCGUGGUUCGCUCCGCGUUUGUUUGACCCUGUUGCUGCGUUUCGAAGCAGCUUAAGAAGUACGAAAUAUCUUAUUUUAGCAGAACUGGAAAUUAUCUAUGGAUGGUCGCUUUAUUUAAAAAGACCUCCACGUGAAUGUAUGAUGAGCUUACGUUUUACAGACACGUCCACCUGUGUGGAGUGAUUUGAUUUUCCGACAUCCUGCAAGAAGCUCCGGAAAAGGCAGGAUGACAAUAACACAGUCGGGGUAAUCAAGGUAACCAGGUGUUCCACAGGUGGAGCUGUUUUCAUUCUGCCUUCUUUUAAAGCGUCUCUGAUGUGUUGGAGCUGUUUGAGCUGCUUUUCCACCCCGCCGAGUAAACCGGACAGAGAGGAUUUUCUUUUUUGGGCAGCUUUUUGCAGAGCGGGGAUAGAGGUCGCUUUCACUGUUACUCUGCACCGUGCGCUCUGCUUUGGAUUUGAAGGACGGUUCAGUGACCCGACGGUGUAGGCAUCACUGCUCGAACAUGAAGUGAGCUUCAGAGUGCUGUCAGUGCCGCACCAUAAUGCAGAUCCAUUUUGCCACUUAGCAAAAGUUAAGUGUGACUAAGAGUUAAAGCCUUGCAUAACAUCUGUGUUUCACACCACAAAGCUCAGCAGUAUUACUUUCAAUGGAGAUUAAAUGUCUAAAAUGACAUCUCGGUAUCGGGCGGACUGCGGUUCUCUCAGUGUGGCCGAGGCUGGAGGUCCGCCAACCUGAAUGUUGAGAUUAAUGCAAAAGAAUGUAACAUGUAGAUUUUAUCAGAAAGGUAGAGAAAGAUGUGAGAACAGGUAGAAAAGAAAAAGAGGGAAAUAAAGAGAGAAAUGUCAGGGAUGUGUAAUAUUUCAGAAUAAAUAUGAAAAGGAAACGGUUGAAGAAAUGGUCCGAGAGGUAAAUGCAGUGCAAUUUGUGCAGCAUUAGUUGUGCUGUAGGAGUGAAUGUAGUGACUUUGUGAAGUUUUCAUAAUUAUUUCUCCUUUUGUGUUGUCACGUUUCACCAGUGUGAAAACCAGACUUGCAAAUCAAGUAAUAAAGCACAUUUUCAGAGCCUGAUGAACAAAUCACCUGCCGGGUUUAGAGCAGAAACACUGAAACAACUCGCGUCCCCUCGGAUCGCUUUCUCCUCGCUGAUGAUGAUGAUGAUGUUACAGACUGAGCAGCACCUGAGAAAAUGAUCCUUCUGAGAACAUGUGAAGGAUUUUCAUGCCAAACAUGUCAGGAGUCUCCCCGCUGUGUGUACCUGGAUGCUGGGUCAGCGCCUGGAGAAGCUUUUAAACAGUAUUUGAAAAACGUGACGCGUUGCAUGAAGGCGUAUCUGUUUCAAUACACAGUUUUCACGUAUGUAACUUUUCACAAGCAUUUAUUUUUACGUUUCUCUUUUUAAUGCUAGUUGAUGAUGUUGAAUCGGACCAGAGCCACGGGAUGUUUGGCUUUCGUUGCCACGGGUACGCUGCAGAGCUUCGAUCGCUUUUUUCCUCCUCGUGUCGUUUAAACUGCACGAGCAGUUUUAAACUCUGCGCAGCGUGGCUGACGCGUCGAGCAUCCUGCAGGGCUCUUUGGUCUUUAGCAAGUUGCACAAGUUGAAGGUACUCGCUAGAAUCUUCUGUACGAAGGGUUUCUGCUACUCCUGCUUCUCCUUUUAAAGAGAUGUAGAAGGAACCAACUAAUAACCUCUGUUACCUAGAAGUAUAACAUGCUUUAUCACAACGCUCGAAUAUACGAAAAAGUCAAAUUUCAUUUUAUAAUGUAACAAUUCUGUCAUUGUUUUCCAACUUUUUUAUAUUUUGUAUAUAACUUUUUGCAUUAAAGUGUUCAUUUUUAAACA
ensembl:lncRNA